UACAGAGGGGGCAAGCGUUAUUCGGAAUUAUUGGGCGUAAAGGGCGCGUAGGCGGCCAUUCAAGUGACGGGUGAAAGCCCUCGGCUUAACCGAGGAACUGCCUGUCAGACUGGAUGGCUUGAGACCGGGGAGAGGUGAGUGGAAUUCCCAGUGUAGCGGUGAAAUGCGUAGAUAUUGGGAGGAACACCAGUGGCGAAGGCGGUUCUCUGGGACGGUACUGACGGCUGAGACGCGAAAGC
rnacentral:rRNA from 1 species